UGAAAACAUUUGCUACUUCUCUUUAAGGAAGGAUGCAUAUUUUCCAUAUUUAAUGUAUCCUUCAAGCUCCCAUUCAGAUUAAACAAGAUUCUCCCUAUCAUCUUUAGUUUAUAGAAUGUUGAAUGGGACAGCAUAGCCUGCAGUGAGAAAGUUUCAGCCAAUGUGGAGUAUGGUAUUAAAAUUCCCUCAUUAUUUCUGUGGACUAUAUAUAUCAGUAUUCUCAAUUGUUAUUUUUUUCAGAAAUACUUGUUAUAAUUAUUCACCCCAUAUAACUUUAUUGGAAAAUAUAAACAACCAUAUGUGAGAUAUUAUAUAAGUUUUGUAAUCAUUCACCAUUAACUCUGGGAUCAGACUUCCUAGAAUUUGAAGAAGAAAUUAAUGAAAUCAAACGUAACUUAAUAGUAGUAGUAAUAGAAAUUUUAAAAUCCUCUUAAAGUUUCUGCAAAGUGUGAUCCCUGCCCCCUUACACUCAAGUUAAAGGAGAAUGUUAACAGCCUGUCCUGUCUCUGUGGACAGUGGACCUUAUCUAUACUCCCCAACUCCAAAUUACUCAAGUUUAUUACAGGCCAGCAAGCUCCUGCACAGCUGCAGUCACAAGACCAAUAAGUUUAGGUUGCAAGACAUGUUUUUCUCAAGAUGUAAGAAAUGUUGUAAUGCUUGAUUAACUGCCUUUGUUUCUCGCUUCUGUAACUUGCUUCCCACCUCAUGUAGUUCCUGCCUUAAAAUGUUUAAAAGUAGGAAAAGCCCUUAGUUUGGGGCUCAUACUUUCUGGACAUAUGUCCGGCUGGGCCGGUGAUCACCUUAAUAGACUCUCCUGAACCUUUUUCAGUCUCUCCAGUCUUUGAUUGUCUUGUAACAUUUCUGGGGGCUCAUCCGGGAUUGGAGAGGGAACAUUUUCUGUCUCCUUUGCCUGUGGGCUACAGCCCCAGGACAUGGGAGAUCUGGGGUCCUUGGCACCACCAGGAGAGUUUCAGCCCAGAAGGAGAACUGCCCUCCCGCGUUCUGGGGCCUUCCCCCGACAGCACAAAUGGAACCAGUGGAAGGGGUUGCAGGAUGGUCACGGGAGCAGCGCACAGCCAUCUGAACCACGAUUGUACAACAAAUAAUGAAUGGAAAACUCUAAAGGGUAUUUAAACCCCAGAAAACGGAUUAAUGAAGCCACUGCUUAGUUAAAGACCAUCAAGCUUCAGAUGAUCAUGCAACAAGUGUUCCAGCCAGUUCCGGGUGAAGUCACCACCUGUGGCCAUCAAGGAACUACCCUGACUCCACUAGACAGGGCAGGGCAAGAGUUUCAUGAUCCCCAAUAGCUUUCUCUCCCCUUUUAAAAGGGCUGAAACAAUAACUCUAUACUUCAACUCAUUUUCAGCUCUGAGUCAAGAAAACUUUUCUUUUGAGCUGUUGACAGCUUGUAGCAACAAUAUUUGGAGCAUAUUUAUUUCUCUCUACCUGAUUUCUCCAGAAUUUUGAAACUAUUUGUGAGUAUUCUUAACUUAAUGGGAAUAUAGUUAUUUGCAUAAGUGCAAUAAAAAUGUCUUUUUUUGCAACAGGAAACCGUUGGAGAAACUGGUUACCUUACCAAGGCUUUGGCUGGGAUGGUCAACAAACUUGACUGGAAAUAAACUUGACUUACAGAGACAAGAAAAACCCCUUGGGAAAACUACCCUCAUACCUUGUCUACACAGUCCCUGUACAGGGUUCCUGACCUGUGGUAAGUAAAGACUGUCACUUUCUGACAGGCCUGGGAGCCCCAAGUUAUCAUGGGACCUUAAGAGGAGAGGAAUUUACCUAGCUCACAGGUAUUUGAUGGUACAAAUCCACAAAAUAAGUCUUGUCUGAGAUUUCUUCUAUGUAACAAAGUUUCAUCAAAGCCAAUUAAAAAGCCCAUGUGAAAAAUGAUUAUUCCUGCUGCACUUUAUACAAAUAAUCAGGCCAAGUAUUAUAAAGCAAAUUGGUCCUACCAUGAUCUGUCUUUAGGAAAAAUGAGAAACUGGAGAGAGAAAAAUUGUUUCAAAAACUAUAGUCUACCUGUUGUUAGAUUCUAUUCUCACCUAAUGUUUUUAUAAUUUUUUAUCAUUUUCAACAGUUCAGAGUGAAUUCUAAUUUUUCUUGGCUAUAAGUCUCCAAAAUAAUGUUUUCAAUUUUUUUCUUCUUUCUUUCUCCCCAUUUUUCCUAAUUUUGAAUCACUGAACACUAAGCUGUGUUUUCUUGAAGCCCUGCAAACUGAAGCUAGACAACUUAAACUUCAGAAGAAAUAACAGCAACCUAUUUACAUAUAUAAGCUACUUUCAUACCUGACUGGUGAUGUAUGGACAUCAGAGUAAUAUGGCCUAUAUCAGUUUUUCAUGAUUGUUGGUUUUUUAUUGUUGUUUUUUCUCCCUACCUCUUCUUAUUUUCUCUUCCUAGGACGUGAGACUUCACAACCUGCUAAAAAUGAGCUUCCCUAAUAAUAUGGGACCUACCUGUCUAGGAACAAACCAUCCUAGCCAUUAAAGAUUAGAUGAAACCUGAGACCAGAGAUUCAUUUUCUUCUAAAAUACUUUCUCCGAAAGAGUCUUAAAAAGACAAGGGGAGAAAUGUAAAAGGAAAAUAAAUCUUGGGACCCCCAACUCACUGAGCCAAAGGGAAAAGUCAAGCUGGGAACUGCUUAGGGCAAACCUGCCUCACAUUCUAUUCCAAGUAAUCCCUCUGCUCACUGAGGGAAGUGCAUAUCUGAUUGCCUCCUUUGGAAAGGCUAAUUAGAAACUCAAAAGUGUGCAGCUGGUUGUCUCUUAUCUUCCUAUGAUCUGAAAGUCCCCUCCCUAGUUCAAGUUGUCUCACCUUUGCUUCCAGUUGUCCCACCAUUUUGGACUGAACCAGUGUUCAUCUUUCAUAUAUUGUUUGAUCUCUCAUGUCUUCCUAAAAUGUAUAAAACCAAGCUGUGUCCCAACCACCUUGAGCAUAUGUUAUCAGGACCUCCAGAGUCUUUGUCACAGGCACAUGUCCUUAACCUUGGCAAAAUAAACUUUCUCCGUUGACUGGGAGCUGUCUCAGAUAUUUGGAGUUCACAAUACAAAUCAAAAUUUUAAGAUUUAUUUUCUAGCAAAUGGAUUUAUUAUUUCAAUCAAGUUUCUAACUUACACAAAAACCUCAAGAAGACCAAGGAGCUAAAAAGUGACUAUGUGUCAAUAGUCUACUUUCCUUAGUUUUUUAUGCUAUGCCCCUAAACUUAAAUGUCUAUAACAUCACCUAUAUUUGUUGAUAACAGGAUGCAAUUACACUGAGUUAUGACUCAUAUCAACUUUUCUUAUAUAUAGUUCUCAUGUCCACACACUAAACACUUUGAAAGGCUUUCUUUAGUUUUGCUGUGAAGUGGCUUGGUUUCAUGCUAUGACUGGAAGGAAAUGAGAGCAGGAUAUUAUUUGCCCCUUGGGCUCCUACAAUUCAUUGUUUUCUCUUGCUUCUCAUUCCACACAGUUUUUAAAGCUGUAGUUUGCAACUUUGGUGUACCCAGGAAUCACACAGGAGGUUUCUUAGAAUUGGAAAUUUCUGAGCUCCACUUUCAGAUAAUUUGACUCAUUAGGCCUGGGGUGCAUUUCAAGAAUCUGCAUUUUUAAGAUGAAUUAAGGAUAAUAAAUUUCUGAUGCACCAGAAUCAUUGCUUGGAAGAUUAACUAGAUGCAGUAGAGUGAGUGUGAACCGGAAGAUAGGUUUUAUGAGGUCAGGAUCUAUUUAUCUACAUCCGGAUUGGGUUGUAAAACUUUUAACAAACCUCCUGGGAAAUGUUUAUAAUUUCCAGGAGUAGGGAACUAGAACCUACAAAGAUGGGGAGAUAAACAGAGGUGAAUAAAAGAUAGGGAGAUAAAACAGAGGUGAAUGAAAGGAUUGAAAGAUAACAUUGAGGGCUUAUCAUAAAGACAACCAAUCUAAAUGCAUGCUUUUUGUAAAGAUUAUUUAGAACCAAGGUACUAGUACAUUUCGUUGAGUGUACCUUGAACUAAGAAUUGGCAAAAAGGUUAGACUUAGGGGAAAAAAGAAUCUGAGAUGUCACUGAGUGUACAGUUGAAAUGUUGAUCUAUGUGUUUUAGGCUUCAUAGGGAUAGAAAAGAAAAAUAAGCUUGGGGGAAAAAAAUGGUUGAAAGGCUUUUGGCCCUAAAAAUAACGAGGGUUGAAUUUACUGGGAGACUUGAAAGAGCAAGAGGUUAUGGUUCAAAAUUUCAGACAUCAAGAUUUCUGUAGUAUGGUGGAUUCUGAAUUUAUUUAGAUGUGAAUGCCAUAAAAAAUGACCUAGUUUUUUUGGCCUUAUUUCCUUCAAAUCCAUGAUUACUGCCAAGAUGUACUUUCUAA
rnacentral:lncRNA from 1 species